rnacentral:rRNA from 1 species
AUUGAUCGCUGGCGGCAGGCCUAACACAUGCAAGUCGAGCGAGCGGCGGACGGGUGAGUAAUGUAUGGGAACCUGCCUGAUGUUGCGGGAUAACUACUGGAAACGGUAGCUAAUACCGCAUACCAUCAGAUGUGCCCAGAUGGGAUUUGCUAGUAGGUGGGGUAACGGCUCACCUAGGCGACGAUCCCUAGCUGGUCUGAGAGGAUGACCAGGCACAUGGGAACUGCGACACGGGCGAGAAUCCGACGGGAGGCAGCAGUGGGGAAUAUUGCACAAUGGGCGCAAGCCGGCUGCAGCCAUCACGCGUGUGUGAAGAAGGCCUUCGGGUUGUAAAGCACUUUCAGCGGGGAGGCGUUACACGCAGAAGAAGCGCCGGCUAAGUCCGUGCCAGCAGCCGCGGUAAUUC